AACCAAAUGGAUACCGUUUAAAACAUACAGCAUUAAUCAAUGGAGGAUAUUUGCAUGAUUGAUGAUUGUAUUGAUUAGGGUAACGCAUAUCUCAUAAAACAAACGGGUGGUUGAUGAUCAUCAAUUCCCUGUGUCACAAUGGCUCUGUUGUGAAGACAACUAAAAUCAGCAGAGAGAUGAGGUCAGGAGGGCUGAGGGGGAACAAAAUGGUGGACUGAAUUAGCCUUCAUCAUGAGGGAGGUCAGGAGGGCUGAGGGGGAACAAAAUGGUGGACUGGAAAAGCCUUCAUCAUGAGGGAGGUCAGGAGGGCUGAGGGGGAACAAAAUGGUGGACUAAAAAGCCUUCAUCAUGAGGGAGGUCAGGAGGGCUGAGGGGGAACAAAAUGGUGGACUGAAUUAGCCUUCAUCAUGAGGGAGGUCAGGAGGGCUGAGGGGGAACAAAAUGGUGGACUGAAUUAGCCUUCAUCAUGAGGGAGGUCAGGAGGGCUGAGGGGGAACAAAAUGGUGGACUGAAUUAGCCUUCAUCAUGAGGGAGGUCAGGAGGGCUGAGG